CGUAGGGGGCUAGCGUUGUCCGGAAUCAUUGGGCGUAAAGCGCGUGUAGGCGGCCCGGUAAGUCCGCUGUGAAAGUCGGGGGCUCAACCCUCGAAAGCCGGUGAAUACUGUCGGGCUCGAGUACGGAAGAGGCGAGUGGAAUUCCUGGUGUAGCGGUGAAAUGCGCAGAUAUCAGGAGGAACACCAAUUGCGAAGGCAGCUCGCUGGGACGUAACUGACGCUGAGACGCGAAAGCGUGGGGAGCAAACAGGAUUAGAUACCCUGGUAGUCCACGCUGUAAACGAUGGGCACUAGGUGUGGGGGGUGUCGACUCCCUCCGUGCCGGAGCUAACGCAUUAAGUGCCCCGCCUGGGGAGUACGGCCGCAAGGCUA
rnacentral:rRNA from 1 species